GCUCAUUUGGGACCGUCAUCCUAGAGGGAAGGAGAGAGAGAGAGAGUAGGUGUUUUCUAGAGAGAGAAGAAGAAAGAAGAGAGGACCAAAUCUCUCUAUAGAUUUGAGCAAGGUGGUGACCAUAGUUGGUUCUUGUGUUCUCUCAAGGAAGGCUCGUUGUGAAGUUUGUCAGUUUUGCUUUUCUUGGACCUGAGCGUGAUGAACGCGACAGAACAAAGGGGUUACUAAGGAUGUGAAGACGUAACUUGAGUUACUAAGGAUAUAAAGACGCAACUCAUAGGGCGAACGCGCCGAGGUUAUUCAAGGACCAAAGAUCCUGUUUACCUUAAGAUAUGUUCACAAGUAUAUGUUGAUGAUGCUUAUGAUGAUAAUGUUAUGAUGAUUAUGUAUAUGAUGAUGAUGUUUAUGAUGAUAAUGCUUAUAAUGGUUAUGUUUAUGAUGAUUAUGCUUAUGAUGAUGGUGGUUAUGAUAAGAAUGUUUAUGAUGUGUAACAAUGUAUGAAUUUGAAUAUGUUUUGUGUGUAUACUUGUGUGUUAUUUGUACUUCCUUACUGGGCUUUUAGCUCACCCCCUUACUUUCCCUUCUAGGUAGAAAAUAGGAUUUCUCUGUGGCUCAUGUGGUGAUGUGGGAAGUUCCAACGUCGGGGUGUGUAUGGCGUGGGGGCAUCCUAUGGAUGAGAAAACAAUCAGUUUAAUGCCAAUUUCUAAACAAUACUGUUAUGUUUAUUUUUAACUUUUAGAACUUAUCAGUGAGACUUGAACUUUAAUUAUUUUUAAAACGUUGCAUUAAAACUAUUAUUUUCUUUUUAAACUAUUAGGCCCAACUUGCAUGUUUUUAGCAUGGCCCCACUGAGACUUUUAUAAUAAGUGGAUUUUCUUCUAUAAACUUAUGAGCAUGAAAAUAGUUUACACGGUAUUAGACUAGGGCGUUUUACAGAGUGGUACCACUGAACUAAGAAGAUAGAGAGGAACAAUACCCCACCAAAGGAUCGUCCUCAACCGUGGCUGGAGAAAAUGCGGAUAGUUCAUGGAGGUCUGAGACUUUUUGGCUCCAAUUCGACCAUUUUGGACCACUCCACGAAGAACCACCACCACCAUGAUGCUCCCCGAGUCUUUAUCUUCGAAGCCUAGUCCCUGUUUUCCAGUACCACCAUCGUGGAGUGGUGGCGCCACCACCAUUGCUAGAGCUCUGAUAGAGGGUCUCAGCUAUCCACUAUUUGUGGUGUUCCGGAGUUCAUUUUUGAACUCUAAAGCUCACCAUCAAACCUAUUUUUGAACACCUGAGCGUGUCGGUAUAAUUUCUAACCAAACUUUUGAAUUUUUGAGUUUUUAGAAAUUAAUUGCGAUUUAGGAAAUUAAAUGAAAUUAUGUAUGUUUCUAGUAUGUUAUGAGUUAAUUAGCAUAAUGACUUGCUCUGUGAUUUUCUGGACUGUCUGAGAAUGUUAUAUGUUGUGUUUGCAGGUUUUUAAAAUUUGGAGAAUGUCCAAUUUGCAGCCGUUAUGCUGCUCGAUUUUCUAGAAAGUUAACGAACUUGUAUUUACUAAUUUUUAUAAAAUCACUUGAUAUUUUAGAAUCAAUUAGAAUAGAGAUUUCUAAAGAUUAUCGAUUUAUGAAUAUAAUUUAUGGGUUAUAUUCUAAUA